AAAUGGUGUCUGAUGAAUUUCAAUUUUGGUUCUUCAGCUUGUUAAUGGUUUGCUGACAGUAGGAUGAUGAUGCAGAAUGUCUUGAAUAUGGCUUUUGCAACUGGACUGUUGUAUGAUGUUGUGCUUCUACAGAUAAGUACCAUCGUGGUUUGGUUUUGUAAGGUUGUUUGUAUGAUGAACAUGAUUGUUGUUGUUUGCUGCAGGUUAUAUCACAAUUCUUGGUUGGCUCAAGGAAAGGCAAUGAUAUGCAGUAGGUUGCUUUUUUUUUUAUCUCAUCUAACAAUAUCACACACCAGUGCAUUGUAAUGACGAAGUCCAUCUCCUGGUUUCAAGAUGAUACAUUCAAAUGAGGUGCAACAUUAUAAACACACAGACUCCAACAGUGCGAAUGCAUUUUCUCUUAUAAAUACUGCAACAUCAUCAGCCUUCGUCUCUUAAACAACAAUCUUUGUUGCAGCCGAACCUUUCUCAACAGUCGUGCCAAAUACCGGCUGCAUUAAUCCUGAUUCAAAGAAAAUGGCAGCUAUUCCUCACCAUAGCGAAGCUGUGCUUGCAAAGCGUUUAUGGAUCAAGUUCAACCGUGAAUCAAUCUCGUCGCAUUCUCAACAGCUUUGAUUUCUUACUGCUGCGUAUUCACCAAUCCAUUUGACAUUACAGCCCUCCA
rnacentral:lncRNA from 1 species